rnacentral:lncRNA from 1 species
AUUAGAUAACAUCAUCAUCAUCAUUCACAUUUCCUUUCAUUCCACUUCUUCCUACAAUAUGACGCAGUGAUCAAGAUUCUCUUAACCAAGAGAUACGGCAAAUCGAUUUGAUUUAUAACCUUGUAAGGUGGAUCUAAUCACAUGCCAUAUGCAUGCCCCGUUGAGCCGCACAUGAUAGACGGUUCCCUUAGAGGGCAAUAGCAUUUGAGCCACUCUACGACCCUCAAGCGCUAGUCCCCAUCGGUAUCCCCGGGUCACUCAUGAGUUAUAGACUACCACUCAAAUAGGUAAUAGGACCGAACUCAAUCUACCAUCGUGCAAUAAGGUACUAGAUUUUACCGGUUUCAACUACCUCUUACUUCCAGCAUGUGAAUUAGUACAGUUCAAACUUGGUCAACGGGGCCAACAACAGACAUGUCUUAAUUGACACAGGCGGAGCGCAACCAACAACAACAACAUCAACAUUUCUAUCUCCACCCAGUCUCCAACUUUUCUCAUGUGGAUCAUUUCAUUUCAAAUUUAACAUAACU